AACCGCCCGGUGCGGACCCGCAUGCCGGGUGGUGUGGGAGGGGAGCGAUCAACUAGGAUCGCCCCCUAUCCCGAU
rnacentral:autocatalytically_spliced_intron from 1 species